GUCCGGGAGGGAAACCCGAGGCCCCGAGCUGGAAGGGACAGGCGUCGUCGUCGCCGCGUUGCCUCUGCUUCACCCGCGCGCCUGAGAGCGCCGCCUCCGCCAGGUGGAAGCAGGAUCGAGGCUGGUUUCUUCGGGGUAAUUUUUCUUUCUUAUAGAGAGAAGACAGAUGUGCGAAGAGAGAGGCAGCCAACCUGGGCUCUGCUCAACCCUGAGUUACCUUAUGGCUCCUCGGUGUCUCUGUAACCGCGGAGUUUAUUCCCUGGCACAGGUAAACUGGGAAGCAGACUCUUGAGUUCACAGCUGGCCUGUGGGUUUUGCAUCUCGUUAAGGAGCACCUCGUCAUACAGGAGUGUGUGGCCUUGAGUUUUUGCUCCUGCCUUCUUGUCCUGCUUCUACAUUAACACUCCUCAUCGUUCAGCCUUUGCAGUCGCUUUGUUUGGGUGUGUGCAGCGCUAAGCAAAGAGAAAGACGUCAUCUUCUGGUUUCUGCAUGUACUUUCCACAACCUGGUCGAGGUUCCAGCCAACAAGUCCACGUAAAAGCAGUCGCCUAACCAUGGUGUCUUCUCCCUGAUGCUGAGCCCCAGUUGUACAGCUGCCUGAAGGAGAAUUUAGUGAAAGACAAGGCAGCAAAAGAAAUCCGAGUCUCAGCUGACCCCCUGCGUGUUCUUAGGGUUGCCUAGAGUCAGGACUUCAGCUUUGCCCAGGAAUUUCCAGUCUCCACGGAAUCCAGUUUGUCUGCCAUACUUGAAAAAUAAACUAAGAAAAGAAAUUGCAGUUUAAAAGCCCAGAUGUUAAAAUAUGAGUAGGAUUUGUUUUUUAGUCUGUUUUUGGAAUUUGGAAGUUUAUCUACUAUUUUGUGUUGCUCCGUCCCUGCAGAAGCUGAAUGCAAGGUGGUGGUUGUGUGUCUGGUCUUCACGCCGCCAAACACAUCGGGAGUGCUUACGAAUUCAUAAUAAUACGAACUCUUUGAGCUUCCAGGAGAUAUCUGAUUCGCAGAGUGCCUCCUGGUGUAUAAUACCAUCCUAAUCAGGGUAGAAAAGAAAUGACGUAGGUCAAGCCGUCAAGUUGUUGAGCUGGUCCUCGUCCUCACAGGGGCUCUCACACACAGGUGGGCGUUCAGGCACACGUCACAGAGCUCUUGAGUUGGAUCGUGACUACCUCACAUCAUCCUACUUGGAAAAUCCAAGAAGUGAUACAGAGCCUGAAUUUCCAUAGAGCUUCUGAACUUUGUGUUUUGGACUUCUGAUAGGUGCUUUUCUUUCAUUCAUGAAAUGUUUACCGUUUCUAAAGAUGGGACUGCUGGCAUUUCAAUGGUAGAAUUUGUGUAUCAGGGCAUAUGUGUGUGUGUGUGUGUGUGUGUGUUUAACAUGGCUGUUUUGGAGCAUUGGUCUUGAUCCAAAGACACUGUCCAGGGUGGGCCCUUUGUAUACAGGGUACACAUUUGGGAACAAUGAGAGCAAAGGCAGCUAGCAGACACAGCACCUGGUCUCUGGUCUUGGACUCCAGGGUCAUUAGCAUACUGGUCUCUGACGGACAAUUGCCUUUAUUGCUGCAAUGCCUGGGCACCCUAACUGUGGCUGGUGAUAGAUACAAAAAAAAAAAUGGC
rnacentral:lncRNA from 1 species